rnacentral:rRNA from 1 species
AGCGAACGCUGGCGGCAGGCCUAACACAUGCAAGUCGAGCGCCGUAGCAAUACGGAGCGGCAGACGGGAGAGUAACACGUGGGAACGUACCCUUUGGUUCGGAACAACCCAGGGAAACUUGGGCUAAUACCGAAUAAGCCCUCACGGGGAAAGAUUUAUCGCCGAAGGAUCGGCCCGCGUCUGAUUAGCUAGUUGGUGGGUGAAUGGCCCACCAAGGCGACGAUCAGUAGCUGGUCUGAGAGGAUGAUCAGCCUCACUGGGACUGAGACACGGCCCAGACUCCUACGGGAGGCAGCAGUGGGGAAUAUUGGACAAUGGGCGCAAGCCUGAUCCAGCCAUGCCGCGUGGGUGAUGAAGGCCCUAGGGUUGUAAAGCCCUUUCGGCGGGGAAGAUAAUGACGGUACCCGCAGAAGAAGCCCCGGCUAACCUCGUGCCAGCCGCCGCGGUAA